UCCUCUGAAAUCAGUAAAUUAUUGAAAAGGAAACAUCAUUUUGUCCGAAGACCAUAAACCUCAUCAAGUCAAUUUCACUCACCACACCAACCAAGCGCUUCCCUUAGCUUCUGCUUGAGAGUUGAGAAAACCCAGAGACUAUAUUGCAAAUUGUGAACCCUUUCCUGAUCCAUUACCUUUCUUUCUUUCUUCUGACUUCUGAUCCCAUCUCAUCUGCUUCACUUGAGAUUCAACCAUGGCUGACAAACUUUAUGGUGGAGCUUACCUCUCUCCCUUUGUUAAUACUGUUUUGGACAACGUGUCUUCAAUACUUGAAGAUGACUCUGUCCUCUAUGGAAACGACUCUGCCCUUGAGUUGCUUGGAAGGUUGCAGAAUUGUCUGUAUGAUGUUGGACCUGUUCUUGAUGAUGCUGAGCUGAAGCAGUUCACUGACAAGAGAGUCAAGAAGUGGCUUCUUGAUCUCCAAGAGGCUCUCUAUUUCGUUGAUGACUUUCUCGACGAACUCUCCACUAAAGCCGCCAUUGAUGCCACUCAAAGGGAACCAGGUAACUCUUCCUCCUGGUCUCGUCUGGUUGAUUCAUAUAUUGAAGAUAGUGGUUACUUGGAAAAAAUAGUUCGAAGACUAGAGUCUGUUGUAGCACGCAAAAAUUAUCUUCGUCUAAAGGAGAGUGCCAAGGUGGACAUGUCAUGGAGAAUUCCAUCCACAUGUCUUGUUGAACCAUCGGAGAUAUGUGGCAGGAAAGAAGACAAGGAGGCCAUACUGAAACUGUUGUUGGAUGAUGAUGAUGAUGCUGCUGAUGGUGAUUUAUCUGUGAUUCCCAUUGUGGGCAUGGGCGGAAUAGGAAAGACUACUUUGGCCCAAUUGCUUUACCACGAUGACAAAGUGAAGGAGAAUUUUGAUUUUCGAGGAUGGGUUUGUGUGUCAGAAGAGUUUGAUAUUGUCAAGGUCACCAAAACUAUAAUCGAGGUAAUAACUUCGAGUUCUUGUAACUUGACAGAUUUGAAUUUACUUCAGCUUGAUUUAAAGGAAAAGUUGUCGAGGCAAAAGUACUUCAUUGUCUUGGACGACGUAUGGAAUGAAAAUUAUAGUGAUUGGGAUAAGCUUCUAAAACCUUUUCAGAAGGGGGUUAAGGGAAGUAAAAUUCUAAUAACCACUAGAAACAAAAAUGUAGCUUCUUUAGUGCAGACUGUUUCACCUCAUGAACUAAGAUCAUUGUCCGAUGAAGAUUGUUGGUUGGUGUUUACAAAGCAUGCACGUCUGUCAACUGUUUCUGUGGAGAAUCCAACCCUGGAAAAAAUCGGCAGAGAUAUCGUAAAGAAGUGUGAUGGAUUGCCCUUGGCAGCUCAAGCCCUUGGAGGCAUAUUGCGUGGAAAUUCUGAUAUCAGAUAUUGGAAUCAUUUACUGAAGAGUGAAAUCUGGAAACUCUCCCAUGACAGAAUAAAUGUUGUUCCAGCGUUAAUGAUAAGUUAUUAUUUUCUUCCUUCAUAUUUGAAGCAAUGCUUUGUUUAUUGUUCCUUGUAUCCCAAGGACUAUGAAUUUAGCAAGGAUGAAUUGAUGCUGUUAUGGAUGGCAGAGAAUAUUUUGCAACCGGUAGAAAAAAAGACUAUAGAAGAAGUUGGUGGUGAAUAUUUUGAUGAAUUAAUUGCGAGAUCAUUUUUGCAACCUCAUAGUACCGAGGAAAAUAAAUUUGUGAUGCAUGAUCUUGUUCAUGAUUUAGCAAUGACAUGUGCUGGAGAAUUCUAUUUCAGAGCUGAAGAGCUUCGAAAUUCAGUUGAGGUUGAUAUUAAAGCUCGUCAUUUGUCACAUAACGCCAAAGGUAAUUAUCCAAUGUCAAAUCUUUUGGGAGUUUGUGAUAGACUAAAACAUACAAGGACAUUUCUUGAAAUCAAUCUGUACACGUGGAUUCCAUUCAACAUGGAAAACGCACCUUGCAUCUUGUUGUCACAUUUGAAGUACCUGAGAGCCUUGUCGUUCAAACGCUUUCCUCUUGAGUCAGUGCCUGAUUCAAUAGGUGAGUUGAUUCAUUUGCGUUACUUGGAUCUGUCCGAGUCCUACAUUGUUACAUUGCCGGAGUCAUUGGGUAACCUGUAUAACUUGCAGACCUUGAAGUUGUAUUGUUGUAGAAAUCUGAAAAUGCUACCUGUUUGCAUGAAAGACCUUGUAAAUUUGCGCCAUCUUGAUAUCAGAGAAACUCGUGUGGACGAGAUGCCUAAAGGCAUGAGCCAGUUGAAAAAUAUGCAGUUUUUAAGCAACUAUGUUGUUGGGAAGCGUGAAGAGAACAAGAUCACAGAAUUGGGAGCACUUGCAGAUCUACAGCAAUCAAUUUCCAUUGCCGGUUUGGAGAAUGUGGUGAACAGCAGUGAAGCUUCGAUGGCAAGAAUGUUUGAUAAGGAUGGCAUUUGCUCUUUGGAGUUGAGUUGGUCGCCAGAUGAAGAUGAGAAUGAAGUUGAUUCCCAAAUAGAAAGAGAUAUACUCGACAAGUUACAACCUCACACUAAUUUGAAAGAACUAAAAAUCCGGGGUUACAGGGGUACAACAUUUUCAGAUUGGCUGGGAAGUUCUUCCUACCACAACAUCACGAAAGUAUUUCUGUCUGGUUGCAAGAAUUGUUGUAUGCUUCCUUCACUUGGACAAAUGCCCUCUUUGAAGCGCCUAUCAAUUUCAGGUUUUGAAAGUGUGGAAAUUGUGGGUGCUGAGUUUUACUUUUACCAGAACGAUGAAUCUUGUUUGGAGACUCCAUUUCCAAAGCUUGAAAGUCUUGGGUUUUAUUCCAUGCCUUGCUGGAAGGAGUGGCGUUCAUUGGAGUUGAAUGCAUUUCCUCGACUUAGGGAGCUUACCAUAAGGGAGUGUCCGAUGUUGAGAGGAGAUUUGCCAAAUCAACUUCCAUCUUUGCAAUCACUUAAGAUUCAGAAGUGCGAUGAGCUGAGUUGUUGUGUUCCAAGGGCUCCUGCGAUUACCAGUCUUUCAAUUUCAGGAAAGCAUCUGGUGGGGUCCGUGGUGGAGGCCAUUACCAACACGCAACCGACUUGCCUCACUUCUUUACGCAUCUCAGAUUGUUCCUCCCACAUAUGGUUUCCUGUGAGUGCUAUUCCCCCAUCACUACGAAAGUUGAGGAUACGGGAUUGCAGAAAAUUAGAAUUCGAAAUGGAUGGCCAACGCCACUCACUUCAGCAACUAUACAUACGUAGCAGCUGUGAUUCACUUGCGUCCUUCUCCUUGUUGGAUUCCUUUCCGAAUCUCGUGGGUGUUGAGAUCAAGUACUGUGGAAACAUGGAGUCUAUUGUGGUGUCACGCUCUCUUUCAUGUCUCCGUUAUUUAUGGAUCAAGCAUUGUGGGAUUUUGAAAUCCGUGUCGACGAUAUGGAUGACAGCACCUCAGCUAGAGCGUCUCUCAUUAGUGGGUUGCCCAGAGAUCGAUUUGUGUGCUCCAGGGGUUCCACACCGUAGCCUCAGAUUUCUUGGAAUCAGCUACUGCGAGAAACUAGUGAGCACUGCAGUAUUCAUGAAUUCCCAAUUUCACGGGCUAACUAGUCUUUGUAUUUAUCGUGAAUGUGAGAGUGUGAAGUGUCUCCCAAAGGAAGGUUGGUUGCCUGCCUCCCUUGAGUCUCUCACACUGUAUGGCAUGAAAAGUGUGGAGACGUUGGAAUGCAACGGACUUGCCCACCUCACCUCCCUCCAACAUUUAUACAUUUAUGAAUGUCCCAAGUUGGAGAAUAUGGAGGGUGAAAAGCUGCCUGCCUCUCUAAUAAAACUAAGCAUCUAUAGAAGCCCUUUGCUGGGCAAUCGAUGUCAGAAGAAGGAUCCACAGCUUUGGCCCAAAAUCUCCCACAUCCCCGCCAUUCAAGUUGAUGACACAUGGAUUUGGUAAUCCAACAACUUCAACAGAGUAUUCACUCAUUGCAGUACUCUUACAUGCUUUGAUACUUGCUUCAGACCCUUAGGCAUGGGAGUUGGGACAUGAUGAAAUUAGAUGAUGAAAUCUACCGUGGGGGAAGUGUACAGUAUACCCUUGAAGGACACAGCUCAUAUGGGAAACAAUUCAAAAUUCGUUUAUCCAAAGGCAGAACUGAGAUUGAGGCUGCUGAUAAGCAAAGAAGGGAGUGCUCUGAUAUAGGCGUCACAAUUGGUGCAACAAUUUGAAGUUCUUUAUGAGGUUCAAGAUCCUUGAGAAUGCCAAACGGACACUCUCAAGGAGAAUAGAAGUCGCGCUGCGACUCCUUCUAAAGAAGUGGCUAGGAAUCAGUAAAGAAACUUGAUAUCAUGGUCACUGAGAUCUCCAUUGAUCUGAGUUCGAAUUACAAAUAUUGUUCACUCACUGUUUGUGGUGUAUGCUUUCCUUUCCUUUAAGUACUUCAUAGUUAUUAUGUUAGUAAGUAAUGUGUGAUUAGUUGUAACAUGGAAAGGGAUAACUUAGUUGUACUUGAAGAAGAGAGUAUUCAAUAAAUAGUAGAUGUUUUUGGCCCCAGUCUGAUUCCCUAAUGGCAAUGCCGAAGGGGGAUAGAGGCUGGUGGUAA